UUCUAACUGACUGUUCUGAGCUCUAAGAAGAUUCUGAGGGUCUUUGGGCUGAGCUUGGUCCAAGACACAAGCUGUCCUAAACUCUUUGGGAUUUUCCUUUAAAAAACUUUGGAAAUACCUAGAUUGGCAGUUGUUGGAAAAGAGAGGACUGACUGUGUGGCUAGUGUUAAACCCUGACAAGAGAAGAUCUUUCCUUUGACCUUUUGAAAAAACAGAUUGAAGAAAGGGUUUGGCCAGGCCUCAGUCAGGUCAACUCUGUCUGACUCACACUGAAGGCAGCAAAGCAGAAAUAUUUACAAGCUGCAGUUCCUUUCUGAUGAGCCAAACAACAUAGAGGAGAAGAAGCUAAGGUGACUUGGCAAGAAGGACCUCUGCUAACCUAGACAAUAAUGAAUGGAGAAGUCACACUUUGUUAACUUCUUGCUGGGCUUUUAAGAAUUAGAUCAGAAUCUAAUCAGAAGAUGGAUUUUCCCAUCUAUGAAAAUCUACAAGGAAUGAAGACAUCUAUGUGGAAUGAGAGCUCUUCUCCAAAAGACAAGUCAAAGUAUGUAAAUAGUUUUGAAAGCUGAUAAUAUAUUAUCAAUAGCUAUAUGAAAAAUGUUCCUACACAUUAAUAAUAAAAACACAAAUACUCUGUAGUCUUUUAAUUCUAAUAUCCUAUGAUUCUAUAAUUAUGUAGAUAUAUCUAUCUCUUAUGCCUUAGAGUAUAACAAGAAAAUAGAAGUCUUCAAGUUGAUUUACUUUGCAGAACUGUAGUGUAACUACUCACCAGAAGAUGUCACUAGAGUGACAGCAUCAAUACUA